CACAUAUAUACAGGCAGGAUGCGGCACGGGUGCCCGUGUGUAUGUGAGUGGGCAAACAAAAUGGGAAAUUCUCUUGUUGACAUGCCAUCAUCAUCGUCAUCAUCAUGGAUGUUGAAUGCUCCUUGGACUGCUGGAUCUGGAUGCCAUGAAUACGUUUAAAGUGCUGUGAAAAUUUUUCGGCUCCUUGUUUGAUUUUGUCAACUGCCAUUCCACCAUUUCAUCAGUC
rnacentral:sRNA from 1 species